GUGGGGAAUAUUGGACAAUGGGCGAAAGCCUGAUCCAGCCAUGCCGCGUGUGUGAAGAAGGUCUUCGGAUUGUAAAGCACUUUAAGUUGGGAGGAAGGGUAGUAACCUAAUACGUUGCUACUUUGACGUUACCGACAGAAUAAGCACCGGCUAACUUCGUGCCAGCAGCCGCGGUAAUACGAAGGGUGCAAGCGUUAAUCGGAAUUACUGGGCGUAAAGCGCGCGUAGGUGGUUCAGUAAGUUGGAAGUGAAAUCCCCGGGCUCAACCUGGGAACUGCUUUCAAAACUGCUGAGCUAGAGUACGGUAGAGGGUGGUGGAAUUUCCUGUGUAGCGGUGAAAUGCGUAGAUAUAGGAAGGAACACCAGUGGCGAAGGCGACCUCCUGGACUGAUACUGACACUGAGAGACGAAAGCGAGGGGAGCAAAAGGGAUUAGAAACCCGUGUAGUCC
rnacentral:rRNA from 1 species